rnacentral:lncRNA from 1 species
UUUUGUAUAAAUAAAUGUCUACUAUCAAAAUUAUUUGUAAGUUUGAUUUAACAAAUAUAAAACUAAAUCAAUAUAAAUCAGAUAAUGUUUUUUGUUGAUAGUUAAAUGACUGAAAUUUUAUUUAAUUUUAUAAGUUAUUAGGUUAAUUAUCAAAUUAAUUUUCACAAAUUUAACUAAAAAAACAAAAAUCUAAACUUUUUAAGAGUUUAGAUAUUUAAAUAUAUACAUAUUUAGACUAGGAAAUAAGAGACAUAUUUAAAAUGAAUAACCGUUAAAUAUAAGAUAAAAUAUAUAUUCUUAUUAAAUUUAAUUCUAAUUUUAUUGCAUUUAAAAAUAAAAUUUAAGUAGUUAUACAAGACUAUAUAUAAUAACAUAUAUAUGGUUUUAUUUUUUCCAAACCAAUAAAGUUAAAAUCAAAAAAAUCAAAAAAUCAAAAAAUAAACUAACUUAAAGAAAAUAAAAUAAUAUAAAUAAUAUUGUAAUUAAAUUAUUAUUUUUGUGCACCAUACAUACAAACGUUUAGUUCACACUACAAAGAGAUAUGUGAAUCCUAUAGUACUUCCGUG